CCUCGGCGCACCCAGAAACCCUUUGUGAACUUAUACCUACUGUUGCCUCGGCGCAGGCCGGCUUCUGUCACAAGAAGCCCCCUGGAGACAGGGAGCAGCCCGCCGGCGGCCAACCAAACUCUUGUUUCUAUAGUGAAUCUCUGAGUAAAAACAUAAAUGAAUCAAAACUUUCAACAACGGAUCUCUUGGUUCUGGCAUCGAUGAAGAACGCAGCGAAAUGCGAUAAGUAAUGUGAAUUGCAGAAUUCAGUGAAUCAUCGAAUCUUUGAACGCACAUUGCGCCCUCUGGUAUUCCGGAGGGCAUGCCUGUUCGAGCGUCAUUUCAACCCUCAAGCCUAGCUUGGUGAUGGGGCACUGCCUGUAAAAAGGCAGGCCCUGAAAUCUAGUGGCGAGCUCGCCAGGACCCCGAGCGUAGUAGUUAUAUCUCGCUCUGGAAGGCCCUGGCGGUGCCCUGCCGUUAAACCCCCAA
rnacentral:rRNA from 1 species